rnacentral:tRNA from 1 species
AGGGUAAUAGCUCAGUGGUAGAGUGUGUGCUUAGUAUGCACAAGGUCCUGGGUUCAAUCCCUAGUACCUCCA